UGCAAGUCGAGCGGACAGAUGGGAGCUUGCUCCCUGAUGUCAGCGGCGGACGGGUGAGUAACACGUGGGUAACCUGCCUGUAAGACUGGGAUAACUCCGGGAAACCGGGGCUAAUACCGGAUGCUUGAUUGAACCGCAGGUUCAAUUAUAAAAGGUGGCUUUUAGCUACCACUUACAGAUGGACCCGCGGCGCAUUAGCUAGUUGGUGAGGUAACGGCUCACCAAGGCAACGAUGCGUAGCCGACCUGAGAGGGUGAUCGGCCACACUGGGACUGAGACACGGCCCAGACUCCUACGGGAGGCAGCAGUAGGGAAUCUUCCGCAAUGGACGAAAGUCUGACGGAGCAACGCCGCGUGAGUGAUGAAGGUUUUCGGAUCGUAAAACUCUGUUGUUAGGGAAGAACAAGUACCGUUCGAAUAGGGCGGUACCUUGACGGUACCUAACCAGAAAGCCACGGCUAACUACGUGCCAGCAGCCGCGGUAAUACGUAGGUGGCAAGCGUUGUCCGGAAUUAUUGGGCGUAAAGCGCGCGCAGGCGGUUUCUUAAGUCUGAUGUGAAAGCCCCCGGCUCAACCGGGGAGGGUCAUUGGAAACUGGGGAACUUGAGUGCAGAAGAGGAGAGUGGAAUUCCACGUGUAGCGGUGAAAUGCGUAGAGAUGUGGAGGAACACCAGUGGCGAAGGCGACUCUCUGGUCUGUAACUGACGCUGAGGCGCGAAAGCGUGGGGAGCGAACAGGAUUAGAUACCCUGGUAGUCCACGCCGUAAACGAUGAGUGCUAA
rnacentral:rRNA from 1 species